rnacentral:rRNA from 1 species
AUGAACGCUGGCGGCGUGCCUAAUACAUGCAAGUCGAGCGAACAGACGAGGAUCUUGCUCCUCUGACGUUAGCGGCGGACGGGUGAGUAACACGUGGAUAACCUACCUAUAAGACUGGGAUAACUUCGGGAAACCGGAGCUAAUACCGGAUAAUAUAUUGAACCGCACGGUUCAAUAGUGAAAGACGGUUUUGCUGUCACUUAUAGAUGGAUCCGCGCCGCAUUAGCUAGUUGGUAAGGUAACGGCUUACCAAGGCAACGAUGCGUAGCCGACCUGAGAGGGUGAUCGGCCACACUGGAACUGAGACACGGUCCAGACUCCUACGGGAGGCAGCAGUAGGGAAUCUUCCGCAAUGGGCGAAAGCCUGACGGAGCAACGCCGCGUGAGUGAUGAAGGUCUUCGGAUCGUAAAACUCUGUUAUUAGGGAAGAACAAAUGUGUAAGUAACUAUGCACGUCUUGACGGUACCUAAUCAGAAAGCCACGGCUAACUACGCG